UGUCAUUUGAAAAAUGCCAUCCAUUUCCUGA
rnacentral:snoRNA from 1 species